AUUCAUCCAUUAGCGUAAAAGUUCAAAGUUUAAUUAUUCUCAACUGUAAUUAUUUGCUAUUAAUAUCUUUUCAUUUUAAAUGAUAACUAGAUAUUUUAUUUCUUUUAAAUUGCUAUAUAAUGAUAUUUUAAAACUUUGUUUUCCUGUUAUCCUAAGAAUUAAAUUAAAGAGUUCUCUAGGCAACUGGAUUGAACAUGGAUGUUUAAUUAAAGUUUUAAUGAAAAUUGAAGAUAUGGAGAACUGCGAUAUUCCUGAAAACUUUAUCCAAAUCAAGGCAACCGGCUCAGAGAUGAGAAGCAGAAUAUCGGCUCUUAUGGCAUGCAAACGGCGACAGGCAAAUAGAAGAAACGAAUUGGACUUUUUCGGAAUGCAGAGAAAGAAAGUUAGCCACUGUGCUCGUGUCGCUGCACAAGUCAAUCGCAGGAAAGGAGAAGCCAGUCAUCUGCAAGUUAGGUUUGCAUGGAACGCUUGGGGUCCGCAGACUACUCAUGCAGCUGACUUGAAAGAAAGAUGCACCUCGAUUGGUGCAGGCGUGGUCGAUCCACCGCCAUCCACGUCUAUAGCAGCAGCAACACAAGCAGCACCGUCUUCAUCGCAAUUCAAUUUCUCUACUAAUCAGGAGUUUGUUAACCAUACGUGGAAGAUCAAAUCUUGUCCGGAAGCUAUGGUGAAAAAGAGAGUUUUUCAUUGGAUGAUAUUGAAAUGGAAAUUAAAAAAUUAAAGAAAAAAAUGAAGAGUUGAUGAAACGAAUAUCGUCUUCAAUCAAGUUACUCGCGAACUUAAUCAAAUUUAGAUGGUGAAAUUCGGUGACGUAUAACAGCAAAAAAAUACAUACAAUAAUGAUUUUGAAUGAAUUAAGUUUGUAUCAUAUAUGAAAUGUUAUUGUUUAGUGUUAUAUUAAUCGAAAUGAUUAUAUGAACAAGAAGCUCAUUUUGUAUCAAGAGAUUCGAUAUUGUUUGGAUAUUAUUUUGUAAUUGUUGAUGAAAAAGGUUGAAAAAUAUGAAAUCAAAUCUUGUCCGGAAGCUAUGGUGAAAAAGAGAGCUUUUUCAUUGGAUGAUAUUGAAAUGGAAAUUAAAAAAUUAAAGAAAAAAAUGAAGAGUUGAUGAAACGAAUAUCGUCUUCAAUCAAGUUACUCGCGAACUUAAUCAAAUUUAGAUGGUGAAAUUCGGUGACGUAUAACAGCAAAAAAAUACAUACAAUAAUGAUUUUGAAUGAAUUAAGUUUGUAUCAUAUAUGAAAUGUUAUUGUUUAGUGUUAUAUUAAUCGAAAUGAUUAUAUGAACAAGAAGCUCAUUUUGUAUCAAGAGAUUCGAUAUUGUUUGGAUAUUAUUUUGUAAUUGUUGAUGAAAAAGGUUGAAAAAUAUGAAAUAAAAUCUAGUUAUCUAAUAUCA
rnacentral:misc_RNA from 1 species